UACGUAGGGUGCGAGCGUUAAUCGGAAUUACUGGGCGUAAAGCGUGCGCAGGCGGUUCGUGAUGUCUGGUGUGAAAGCCCCGGGCUCAACUGGGGAGGGUCACUCGAUACUGAUCGACUCGAAGGCAGGAGAGGGAAGUGGAAUUCCCGGUGUAGUGGUGAAAUGCGUAGAUAUCGGGAGGAACACCAGUGGCGAAGGCGACUUCCUGGCCUGUUCUUGACGCUGAGGCGCGAAAGCUAGGGGAGCAAACAGGGG
rnacentral:rRNA from 1 species